UACGGAGGAUGCGAGCGUUAUCCGGAUUUAUUGGGUUUAAAGGGUGCGUAGGCGGAUCGUUAAGUCAGUGGUCAAAUUGAGGGGCUCAACCCUUCCCGCCAUUGAAACUGGCGAUCUUGAGUGGAAGAGAAGUAUGCGGAAUGCGUGGUGUAGCGGUGAAAUGCAUAGAUAUCACGCAGAACCCCGAUUGCGAAGGCAGCAUGCCGGCUUCCUACUGACGCUGAAGCACGAAAGCGUGGGGAUCGAACAGG
rnacentral:rRNA from 1 species